rnacentral:rRNA from 1 species
UACGUAGGGGCAAGCGUUGUCCGGAAUUAUUGGGCGUAAAGAGCGCGUAGGCGGUCCGAUAAGUCGGCUGUGAAAGUCAGGGGCUCAACCCUUGAAAGCCGGCCGAUACUGUCGGACUAGAGUCCGGAAGAGGCGAGUGGAAUUCCCGGUGUAGCGGUGAAAUGCGCAGAUAUCGGGAGGAACACCAAUGGCGAAGGCAGCUCGCUGGGACGGUACUGACGCUGAGGCGCGAAAGC